rnacentral:tmRNA from 1 species
GGGGCUGAUUCUGGAUUCGACGGGAUUUGCGAAGCCCAAGGAGCAUGCCGAGGGGCGGUUUGCCUCGUAAAAAGCCGCAAAAAAAUAGUCGCAAACGACGAAAACUACGCACUAGCAGCUUAAUAACCUGCUCAGAGCCCUCUCUCCCUAGCCUCCGCUCUUAGGACGGGGAUCAAGAGAGGUCAAACCUAAAAGAGAUCGCGUGGACACCUUGCCUGGGGUGAAAGCGUUAAACCCAAUCAGGAUAGUUUGUUAGUGGCGUGUCCAUCCGCAGCUAACCGGCGAAUGUAAAGAUUGGACUAAGCAUGUAGUGCCGACGGUGUAGUAAUUCUGGACGGG